AUGUGCCGUUGCAGCUAUUAAGUCUGCAUGUGGAGACCUGUACGAAGCCAGAAGUUCAUGAGAUCCACUCUGACAAUGAUGAUGUUGAUGAAGGGGCUCUACUGCAGCAAUCUAAUUUGGAGAGUAUGGUGAGCAGACUGCAAUCUCCUCUUCACCAACCCCCCUUGCGUAUUCACAUUUAGGGCUACACUAAGUCUCUAACAUUUAUCCUUUAUUUGCAAGAUUCCACAG